UCACCGCUGUUUUCAAGAAUGCAUUUCUCCU
rnacentral:piRNA from 1 species